rnacentral:sRNA from 1 species
CCAACAGCUCUGGAGACUGAAGUUCUCUACUUGUCCAAGUACAGCAUGCUUUCUCAUAGUGUUCCACCAAUAUGCAUUGGCCUCCAGGGACCUCUUCUGGAGAGAAAGUGAAUACUAAAGUCUUCAUGGCCCAUUCUGUCCUUGGCCUCC